rnacentral:tRNA from 1 species
GUACGUAUGGUGAAGAGGCUUAACACAUUGCUCUGCAAAAGCAACAUUCGUGGGUUCAAAUCCCACUACGUACU